rnacentral:misc_RNA from 1 species
UCUCCGUAGGUGAACCUGCGGAGGGAUCAUUACAGAGUUCAUGCCCUACCGGGUAGAUCUCCCACCCUAUGUUAUUAUUACUUUGUUGCUUUGGCGGGCCGUUAGGCUCCGGCCCGACUACCGGCCCCGGCUGCUAAGCGCCCGCCAGAGGACCCAAAACCCUGAAUAUUAGUGUCGUCUGAGUACUAUAUAAUAGUUAAAACUUUCAACAACGGAUCUCUUGGUUCUG